rnacentral:rRNA from 1 species
UACGUAGGGUGCAAGCGUUGUCCGGAAUCAUUGGGCGUAAAGCGCGUGUAGGCGGUCCGGUAAGUCCGCUGUGAAAGUCGGGGGCUUAACCCUCGGAUGCCGGUGGAUACUGUCGGGCUUGAGUACGGAAGAGGCGAGUGGAAUUCCUGGUGUAGCGGUGAAAUGCGCAGAUAUCAGGAGGAACACCAAUUGCGAAGGCAGCUCGCUGGGACGUUACUGACGCUGAGACGCGAAAGCGUGGGGAGCAAACAGG